AUGCACAGCGAGGCACUGGCAGAGAGGGGCCCACUCCCAGGUCGACUGACUUGGAGUUCAGGGACCCGCUCCCCGGAGCUCCUCCCCAGGGCUCAGGGCGCAGCCCCAUCAAGUCCCACGUGUCUGAGCCACAGACGAGCUCCUGGAGAGUCCCAGACAGGGGCCCCUGUGGCAACGGCUGGAGCCUCCACAGAGGCGCGUCCUUCUCCCUCCUUCGUCCAUCUCUCCCUGCUGCCUUCCAUCAACUGGACGCUUUCAGGCCCCAGUCCAUCCACCAAGUGUCAGACAAUAUUGUCAGCUCAACCGUCAGCCCUGCACACUCCUUCCUCCUGCCUCCUCUGCCCACUCAGCUCGUGGGCCCCCUCUGAUGGCAUCACCGGAGUCCACAGAUGUCAGGCUCCAUCCCUCUUGUUCUACAGGUGGGAAGCUGAGGCCCAGCCAGCGGGAGGGAUUUGCCUCAGGUCACCUUGGGAGACAGGAUGGACAGCACAAGAAUCCCGUGCUCUCAGGCCUGGACUCCACAGCUGCCUACCUCUGGGCAUCCCCUCCCCCAGCCCUUGUCUCACUGUCCCUUCCAGCUGGCUUCCUCCCCACUGCCUCCCUGCAUCCUCCUCCAGCCUCCAUAGCUGCCACUCACCUCGGGUGGGGGUGGAGGGCUGGAACUGCACCGGAAGGCUGGGUUGGUGGGAGGUCCUGUUGGGAAGUGAGCCUGGUGGUGGGACGGCCACCUAUAUAGGCUUCUGCUCUGGCUAUUUUGGGAGGUGGCGCUCCCCCCGGCCCGCAGCCCCCUCCCCUUCCGGUGUCAGGUACUCCCCAACGAUGGUGCUGGGUGUCUGUAUCACAUUCGCCCGCCCUGGGCCCAUCAAGCCAGGCCUAUUAAUAACCCUUGGCCCCUGCCCUCCUCCAGCACCCAAAGCUGAAGCUCAGGCGGGGCUUUUCUCUUCCGCGAAGACUUCCAUGACCUCUUUAGACGGCAGUGACGUUUCUGUGCUCCAAAAUCCUGCAAGGAAAGGAAGAGAAAAGGCAAGCAGGAGAAUGGGACAGGAAUUGUCUUCCACACACGGGUCUGGGCCAGGCUCCUCUGUACACAGCAUCUUCUCUCUGCAGCCUCACAGUGCGGGCCUGGUCCCUCGUGCGUGGAUGGGGAGACAGCACAAAGACGUGAGGUGUUACGUGACUUACUACUCAAAGCCUGGACCUGGAGCCGGGAGUGGAUCCAGCUCUUUCAUAAGAUGA
rnacentral:lncRNA from 1 species